CUAUCCCCUAGGGCUCAUCUAAGACCUAAGAUGGCGGCGUUUGUAACGAGGGAAAGUCCCGACCAAGUACUGGGUGUGGAAAGCAGCCAAUGGACAAAUCUAUUAAGGAAGGUACAGAAACCCGCUAAUUUUUUGUUUUGUGGUCUCAGAUGAGGACUUCUGGGCAUACAUUUAUUCUGGAAGCACAUUGUUCUGUUCAGAAUAGGCUUUAUGCCCAGUGUGGAACCCAGCACAG